rnacentral:rRNA from 1 species
GCGGAAGGAUCAUUAUUGAAUAAACAUUUGAUAGGCUGUUGCUGGCCCUUCUAGGGUAGUGUGCACGCUUGUCAUUUAUUUAUUUAUCUUUAACCACCUGUGCACCUUUUUGUAGAUCUUAGAGAAAGCAAAUUGUCUUGAGCAAUCAGGAUAGGUUUUGGGGACUGCUGUGCCUUUCAAAUGAAGUGCCAGCUUUUCCUUGUCUCUCUAGGUUCUAUGUUACUCACAUACUCCUAUGAAUGUAAUAGAAUGUUGAUCUGGGUCUUUGGUGCCCAUAAAGUUAUAUACAACUUUCAGCAAUGGAUCUCUUGGCUCUCGCAUCGAUGAAGAACGCAGCGAAAUGCGAUAAGUAAUGUGAAUUGCAGAAUUCAGUGAAUCAUCGAAUCUUUGAACGCAUCUUGCGCUCCUUGGUAUUCUGAGGAGCAUGCCUGUUUGAGUGUCAUUAAAUUCUCAACUACACUGACUUUGAUUAGUGUGGCUUGGAUUUGGGGUUGUUGUGGGCUUUUGUAGUCUGCUCCCCUGAAAUUAAUUAGCGGUGCCUCAGUGGAACUGUCUACAGGUGUGAUAAUUAUCUACAUCCUAGACAUCUGCUGGAAUGGGGUUAAUGCUGCUUUCUAAACCUUACUUGUAUUGACAAUCUUGACCUCAAAUCAGGUAGGACUACCCGCUGAACUUAAGCAUAUCAAUAAGCGGAGGAAAAGAAACUAACAAGGAUUCCCUUAGUAACUGCGAGUGAAGUGGGAAAAGCUCAAAUUUAAAAUCUGGCGGUCAUUUGGCUGUCCGAGUUGUAAUCUAGAGAAGUGNUGCCCGUGCUGGACCAUGUACAAGUCUCCUGGAAUGGAGCAUCACAGANGGUGAGAAUCCUGUCUUUAACAUGGACUACCAGUGCUUUUGUGGUAUGCUCUCAAAGAGUCGAGUUGUUUG